CUUUGGUAUUUAUUGAAUAUGUUAAGCAAAUAUCCAACUAACAAACAAUGUAGAGGACUACUAGAACAACAAUACUAUGAAUGUCUUACAAUCCAAUGGCGAGCUGACAAAGGAUCACAAUCACGCAUUGCUUGAAGUUCAGAUCUGAGCAGUUCCUCUUCAGCAUAAAACGCAUUGUUGUGAACAUUAUCCUUUCCUGGUUCUUCAACUUUAACAUUCAGCUCAACCACCUAUAAAUGUGAUAU